rnacentral:rRNA from 1 species
AUGGGGCCGGUGCCGGUGUACUCGGCCUGGAACCACGCGCCCAUGACGGCGAGCAUGGCGAGGCGGCCGUUCUUGAUCUCCUUGGUGCGCAGCUCCUUGAGCUUCUCGGGCGAGCCGGAUGAGCUCCACGAUGAAGAGGGUGGUGGUGUCGGUGAAGUACUCCUGCUCCCCGGCGGUGUACCACGACGGCGUGUUGAGGAUGCCGAUCUUGGUCAGGAGCUCCGGGAUGAAGAUGCCCGCCGCGCCCAGCAUCGCCCACCGGCAGUGAGACCAGCGCCAUCGUUGUGCCACCAGUGCGCUCGCUGGCUGUGCCUGUAG